rnacentral:rRNA from 1 species
AGUGAACGCUGGCGGCGUGCUUAACACAUGCAAGUCGAACGAGAACGGAAUAUAGCUUGCUAUAUUUGUCAGCUAAGUGGCGCACGGGUGAGUAAUGUAUAGAUAACCUGCCCUCUAGAAAGGAAUAACAGUUGGAAACGACUGCUAAUGCCCUAUAUGCCUUUAAUACAUAAGUAUGCAAGGGAAACGCUUUAGUGCUAGAGGAUGGGUCUGUAUGGUAUCAGCUUGUUGGUGAGGUAAUGGCUCACCAAGGCUAUGACGCCUAACUGGUUUGAGAGGAUGAUCAGUCACACUGGAACUGAGACACGGUCCAGACUCCUACGGGAGGCAGCAGUGGGGAAUAUUGCACAAUGGACGAAAGUCUGAUGCAGCAACGCCGCGUGGAGGAUGACACAUUUCGGUGCGUAAACUCCUUUUAUAUAGGAAGAUAAUGACGGUACUAUAUGAAUAAGCACCGGUUAACUCCGUGCCAGCCGCCGCCGUAA